rnacentral:rRNA from 1 species
AGUCGCGCGGGUGGUUUUCGGAUCACUAGCGGCGGACGGGUGAGUAUCGCGUAGGAACAUAUCCUGAGGUGGGGGACAACCCUGGGAAACUGGGGCUAAUACCGCAUGUCUGUUGUGGCAGAAAGCCGAGAGGCGCCUUGGGAGUGGCCUGCGUCCGAUUAGGUAGUUGGUGGGGUAAAGGCCUACCAAGCCUGCGAUCGGUAGCUGGUCUGAGAGGACGAUCAGCCACACUGGGACUGAGACACGGCCCAGACUCCUACGGGAGGCAGCAGUGGGGAAUAUUGGACAAUGGGCGCAAGCCUGAUCCAGCAAUGCCGCGUGGGUGAAGAAGGUCUUCGGAUUGUAAAGCCCUUUCGGCGGGGACGAUAAUGACGGUACCCGCAGAAGAAGCCCCGGCUAACUUCGUGCCAGCAGCCGCGGUAAUACGAAGGGGGCUAGCGUUGCUCGGAAUGACUGGGCGUAAAGGGCGCGUAGGCGGCUCAUUUAGUCAGGCGUGAAAUUCCUGGGCUUAACCUGGGGACUGCGCUUGAUACGGGUGGGCUUGAGGGCAGGAGAGGCUCGCGGAAUUCCCAGUGUAGAGGUGAAAUUCGUAGAUAUUGGGAAGAACACCGGUGGCGAAGGCGGCGAGCUGGCCUGUGACUGACGCUGAGGCGCGACAGCGUGGGGAGCAAACAGGAUUAGAUACCCUGGUAGUCCACGCCGUAACGAUGUGCGCUGGAUGUUGGGCGGCCUAGCCGUUCAGUG